CGCAUCUGUGCAUGCAGCAUAUCAAUAAGCGGAGGAAAAGAAACUAACAAGGAUUCCCUCAGUAACGGCGAGUGAAGCGGGAAGAGCUCAAAUUUGAAAUCUUGAAAGGUCACCUUUCACGAAUUGUAGUUUAAAGAAGUGUUUUCUGUUACGAUCGUAAUAUAAGUUCUUUGGAAUAGGACAUCACAGAGGGUGAGAAUCCCGUCUAUGAUUGCGAUUUGUAGCUUUGUGAUACACUUUCAAAGAGUCGGGUUGUUUGGGAAUGCAGCCCAAAACGGGAGGUAAAUUUCUUCUAAGGCUAAAUAUUGGCGAGAGACCGAUAGCGAACAAGUACCGUGAGGGAAAGAUGAAAAGAACUUUGAAAAGAGAGUUAAAUAGUACGUGAAAUUGUCAAAAGGGAAGCGUUUAACACCAGUGUUGUUUUCUGAAAAUCAACCUCUGUUAGCUUUAUGCACUGCUUUGUUUAGACCUAAUCAGCUAUCUUGCAUGUUCUAUUGUUUGCAGUGGUGCACUUUUCAGUUUACAGGUCAACAUCAGUUUUUUUUACCGUAAAAAAGUUAAAGAAAGGUAGCUCAUGGCUCCGGUCGUGAGUGUUAUAGUCUUUUUCCUAUGCGGUAGGAGAGACUGAGGUCUGCAGUGUAGGCUAUUUGGCUAGAUACUCAGGUGCUAUGUGAUACCAAUUUCAUAAACAACUUGUUGAUUAUGUUUUGUCUAUUGCAUACUCGCUUGUACUAUCAUACCUACGCUUAGGAUGUUGAAGUCAUCGUACGCGC
rnacentral:rRNA from 1 species